rnacentral:tRNA from 1 species
GAGGGUAUAGCUCAGUGGUAGAGUGUGUGCUUAGCAUGCACAAGGUCCUGGGUUCAAUCCCCAGUACCACCA